rnacentral:rRNA from 1 species
CCUACGGGUGGCAGCAGUGGGGCAUAUUGCACAAUGGGGGAAACCCUGAUGCAGCGACGCCGCGUGAGUGAAGAAGUAUUUCGGUAUGUAAAGCUCUGUCAGCAGGGAAGAAAAUGACGGUACCUGACCAUGAAGCCCCGGCUAACUACGUGCCAGCAGCCGCGGUAAUACGUAGGGGGCAAGCGUUAGCCGGAUUUACUGGGUGUAAAGGGAGCGUAGACGGCAGGGCAAGUCUGGAGUGAAAGGCGGGGGCUCAACCCCCGGACUGCUCUGGAAACUGCCAGGCUGGAGUGCAGGAGAGGUAAGUGGAAUUCCUGGUGUAGCGGUGAAAUGCGUAGAUAUUAGGAGGAACACCAGUGGCGAAGGCGGCUUACUGGACUGUAACUGACAUUGAUGCUCGAAAGUGUGGGUAUCAAACAGGAUUAGAUACCCUAGUAGUC